rnacentral:rRNA from 1 species
CCUACGGGUGGCUGCAGUGGGGAAUUUUGCGCAAUGGGCGAAAGCCUGACGCAGCAACGCCGCGUGAGUGAUGAAGGUCUUCGGAUCGUAAAGCUCUUUCGGCUGGGACGAAAACGGUUUGGUGAAUAUCCAAGCCCUUGACGGUACCAGAAGAAGAAGCACCGGCUAACUCUGUGCCAGCAGCCGCGGUAAUACAGAGGGUGCAAGCGUUGUUCGGAAUUAUUGGGCGUAAAGCGCGUAUAGCCGGCGAGAAAGCCCUCAGCUCAACUGAGGAAGUGCGCCCGAAACUACGUUGCUCGAGUGCUGGAGAGGGUAGCGGAAUUCCCGGUGUAGAGGUGAAAUUCGUAGAUAUCGGGAGGAACACCAGUGGCGAAGGCGGCUACCUGGACGGACACUGACGCUGAGACGCGAAAGCGUGGGGAGCAAACAGGAUUAGAUACCCCUGUAGUC